rnacentral:rRNA from 1 species
CUCGUAGGCGGUUCGUCGCGUCCGGUGUGAAAGUCCAUCGCUUAACGGUGGAUCUGCGCCGGGUACGGGCGGGCUGGAGUGCGGUAGGGGAGACUGGAAUUCCCGGUGUAACGGUGGAAUGUGUAGAUAUCGGGAAGAACACCAAUGGCGAAGGCAGGUCUCUGGGCCGUUACUGACGCUGAGGAGCAAAAGCGUGGGGAGCGAACA